GCUUCCUUGGCUCAGUUGGUAGAGCGUUGGUCUCAUAUUUCAAAUAUGAGUAAUCACGUAAUUGAUUAUCUAAUCCAAAGGUCACCAGUUCGAGCCUGGUAGGGAGCA